rnacentral:pre_miRNA from 1 species
UUGGGGUUUCUUAGCGGCAUUUGCCUCAAAUUACACUGCAAUGCCCUUGGAAAUCCCAAAC